rnacentral:lncRNA from 1 species
AUACAUCUGUACUGAAGUGCAAAGCUGCGGCUGCCCACGGGCGGCUUUCAUUUGUCUGGCUCUGGUCAGUGGGUCGGGCAGCUCUGACCAUGGGCUCGGAUGCAGGUUUGCCUCAUUCCCAAUGUGCAGAAAUAGAGACUGUGUUUGCUGCUGUUGCGUAGCCGCUGUUGCUGCGUCAUUAGCUACGUUCGAAUGUUGGGAAUCAGAUCAUUGAGCACCAAGUGGUUCAGAGAUGCCCUGCCACUCUGCAGUACCACUGCAAAUGGACAAACCUGCCUGUUAGGCCUUGCUUGUAUUAGCCAUGAAGCACAGAGGCUGCUGUCUGCCUCUUUCCUCAUGUGUGGAAAGCGCCCAGCAGCGCUUGGCCUUGGACCUUGAUGAUGGUGCAGAGGGUACUGCUGGACUACGUGCAUUAAGUAUCUGCAGCCCUUGUGCCUGAUUCAGAGGCGUCAACUGAGCUGCACUCCUGAGGGGUGGCCUAAAAAACAGACGGCCUGCAUGGAAGAGACCUGGUCCGAGAAUUUUUCCCAGUUGUCAGGCUGAGUGAGUCCCAGCUGUCUCAUGCUCCAGUCCGUUCAGUUAUUUGCUGCCUAGAUAUUGCUGUGUUGAAUAACUGCGCCUGCGACAGGAUGUUUAAGCCUGAGGCCCCUUUGGGUGUAUGGUAUUUAAAUUUGAUGGAGCUUCUGUGAGAAGGAUCUGGCCUUGCGUUUACUCAGGGGAGUCUCUGGUGGUUUGUGGUAAGGGAUUGGGACCUGGGACUGAAGCCACAGCCUCCAGGACCAGACCACAGAAUUUACACAAGUCCUGCCAAGGCCUGCCCAUCGCCUUCCCAGCUGAAGAAGGCUGGAUGGGAAUGGUAAGGUUCUGGAGGACUCCAGGGAUUUUCUGCUCGUCCUCCUUCCCCAGCUCUGGGAGGCCUGGACAACACUUGCUCAUUCAUAACAGAAACGAUUCAAGAUGCACAGGACUGAAAGGUCACUGCAAGUUUCUGCUCCUCGUCUCGUGUGACUGGUAUAGAUCAAGUAUUUUGGCAAACUUUACGGAAGAAAGCUUUUGUUACAAGAAGAGUUUGUGCAACCAACCGCUAUUUAGAAGGACGUUUUGUUGUGAAAUCCUUCCCGUUCUGGAAGCUCAAGCCAACUGCUUUUGACCUGGGCGCUUACAGUGUAG